GACGAACCGUGCGAACGUUGUUCGGAAUCACUGGGCUUAAAGGGCGCGUAGGCGGCCUGCCAAGUCAGGGGUGAAAGCCCCCAGCUCAACUGGGGAAGUGCCUUUGAUACUGGCGGGCUCGAGCGAGGCAGGGGUCGUGGGAACUUCCGGUGGAGCGGUGAAAUGCGUUGAUAUCGGAAGGAACGCCGGUGGCGAAAGCGCACGACUGGUCCUCACCUGACGCUGAGGCGCGAAAGCCAGGGGAGCAAACGGG
rnacentral:rRNA from 1 species